UGUGAACUCUUUUGCAAUUCUUACAAAAUCUCUACUACCCUUGCCAGACAAAUAUCAUGGUCUAACUCAUGUGGAUAAGCGUUACCAGCAACGGUAAGUUGAGUUUUCUGUUUCUUUUUCACAGUUUGAGUGAGAGUGUCUCUUAUGGGAAAUAACAAAUUUUUUUCUACUGGAUGAUGAUAGCCCACAAUUCGUUGCAGUGGUUCUUGCAAAAGACUUGUCUAAAUGGCUUUUUAAAUAAUAUAUAUAUUUUUUGGGGUAUACUUGGUUAUAACUGAACUUUGUAUUCUCUUUUCUUAUUUGUAGCUUUAGUAUGAAUUAAGGAGUUGUAAUGGUUUGGUAUUUGUUUUUUUUUUUUAAAUCUGAGACCAAUCACAGCUGGUUGCAAGGUAUUUAUGCGAUUUUUCAGUCGCUACACCAAGUGACGAGAAAAUUAGAAAUGAUUGUCCUUUUAGCUUUUGGGAAUAAUACAUACUUGUUGUACAUAUCUUGUAUUUGGCAUUUUACUAGGUUAAAAUUGAUGUCACUAAUACUUGUGCUAUUUUUCUAGUUAGUGAACUUCUUAUUUUAAAGAUAUUUAACACAUCCAUCCUGAAAUGUAACAAUUAUAGAAUAACUAUCUAUUUUAUUGAGCAGGUUCCGAAGGCCCAAGUUGUUGGUGUUAAAAGUUUGUGCUUUUCCACAAAUUUCCAAAUGGUUUAAAGUUUCUAAAUCACCCUGCUCUUGAUGGUCUUUUAAGUGAUAAAGAUUGAAAGAUUUUCAAACAUCUUACUACCUUGAGGUGCAUACACGGAUCCUUGUAUUGCUAUAUGAAUUGAGGGCAACUUAAUUUUCUUAUUGGUAUAUCACUUUACAACAUCUUUUUCUUAGUUGUAAAUCUGAUUUUUUAAACA